rnacentral:rRNA from 1 species
AACGAACGCUGGCGGCAUGCCUAGCACAUGCAAGUCGAACGAAACCUUCGGGUCUAGUCGCGCACGGGUGCGUAACGCGUGGGAACCUGCCCUUAGGUUCGGCAUAACUCCCCGAAAGGGGUGCUAAUACCGGAUAAUGUCUUCGGACCAAAGAUUUAUCGCCUUUGGUUGGGCCCGCGUUGGAUUAGAUAGUUGGUAGGGUAAAAGCAUACCAAGGCGACGAUCCAUAGCUGGUCUGAGAGGAUGAUCAGCGACACUGGGACUGAGACACGGCCCAGACUCUUACGGGAGGCAGCAGUGGGGAAUAGUGGACAAUGGGCGGAAGCAUGAUCCAGCAAUGACGCGUGAGUGAUGAAGGCAGUAGGGUAGUAAAGCUCUUUUAACCGGGAUGAUAAUGACAGUACCGGGAGAAUAAGCUCCGGCUAACUCCGUG